GAUGAACGCUGGCGGCGUGCCUAAUACAUGCAAGUCGAGCGAAUGGAUUAAGAGCUUGCUCUUAUGAAGUUAGCGGCGGACGGGUGAGUAACACGUGGGUAACCUGCCCAUAAGACUGGGAUAACUCCGGGAAACCGGGGCUAAUACCGGAUAACAUUUUGAACCGCAUGGUUCGAAAUUGAAAGGCGGCUUCGGCUGUCACUUAUGGAUGGACCAGCGUCGCAUUAGCUAGUUGGUGAGGUAACGGCUCACCAAGGCAACAAUGCGUAGCCGACCUGAGAGGGGGAUGGGCCACACUGGGACUGAUACACGGCCCAGACUCCUACGGGAGGCAGCAGUAGGGAAUCUUCCACAAUGGACGAAAGUCUGACGGAGCAACGCCGCGUGAGUGAUGAAGGCUUUCGGGUCGUAAAACUCUGUUGUUAGGGAAGAACAAGUGCUAGUUGAAUAAGCUGGCACCUUGACGGUACCUAACCAGAAAGCCACGGCUAACUACGUGCCAGCCGCCGCAGUAA
rnacentral:rRNA from 1 species